GUCUCCUCGGGCUCUCUUCGCUAUCCGUCGCAUAUCCACGCCAUCCCUGCCUGCUCAGGCCCGCCACUGGAGCCGCAGCCAUCCAGGGCCCACUUACUCUGCUUCGGCCUGCCUCACAGAGGCCGGUAGCCCAGGGUCGCCGGGUCGCGGCUGUCCGGUGCGGGCGUCGAGAACACGCCGGGCUUUGGGCUACAGGGCCUCGGCCAUGGAAAUCCCUGUUGAGCUUCAGGGGCACGGGUGAGGCAGGCCCUGGCAGGCCAAGGUGAUGAAGGCGCCUCCAGUUCUUGGCCCUGUGGGCCCCUCGAAAUGACACGGUAACCAUCCGGACCAGGAAGUUCAUGACAAACCGUCUGCUUCAGAGGAAACAGAUGGUCAUUGAUGUCCUUCAUCCUGGGAAGGCCACAGUACCAAAGACAGAAAUUCGGGAAAAGCUGGCCAAGAUGUACAAAACCACACCAGAUGUCAUCUUUGUAUUUGGAUUCAGAACCCACUUUGGUGGAGGCAAGACAACUGGCUUUGGCAUGAUCUAUGAUUCUUUAGAUUAUGCAAAGAAGAAUGAGCCUAAACACAGACUUGCGAGACAUGGCCUUUAUGAGAAGAAAAAGACCUCCCGCAAACAGCGAAAAGAACGAAAGAACAGAAUGAAGAAGGUCAGGGGGACUGCAAAGGCCAAUGUUGGUGCUGGCAAAAAGUGAGUGGAGACUGGAUACAGCCAAAGGAGUAGUUCUACGGUGACUUGAUGUUCUGCUGUGAUAUGCAAAUUUCUGAGGGUAAAAUAAACUAAAAAAGCUUCUGCG
rnacentral:lncRNA from 1 species